GGGGUUGUAGCUCAGUGUUAGAGCACUUGUCUUCAAUGCAUGAGGCCCUGGAUUCGAUCCUCAACACCA
rnacentral:tRNA from 1 species